UACGUAGGGUGCGAGCGUUAAUCGGAAUUACUGGGCGUAAAGCGUGCGCAGGCGGUUAUAUAAGACAGAUGUGAAAUCCCCGGGCUCAACCUGGGAAUUGCGAUGGAGACUGCAAGGCUAGAAUCUGGCAGAGGGGGUAGAAUUCCACGUGUAGCAGUGAAAUGCGUAGAGAUGUGGAGGAAUACCGAUGGCGAAGGCAGCCCCCUGGGUUAACACUGACGCUCAUGCACGAAAGCGUGGGGAGCAAACAGGAUUAGAAACCCGUGUAGU
rnacentral:rRNA from 1 species